rnacentral:rRNA from 1 species
AUGCUCAAGGUGAAUACCGCUCUUGAAGUCCACGCGAGCAAGAUAUAUACCAGGAAGAUGUUUGACAUUUUUGGGGGGAUACUGUAUGAAUCUGGAAGAUAUGAUGGCGAAGAAAUCAUAGCAAAGCAAAAGUACAUAGUGACACACCAGAAAACUGAGCACCAUGAAAAGUGGUUUAAGUGCCGUUUUGAGGUUAAUGUGACUGACAACCUUGGUUACUUUUCGUGCAUAUGUGGCAUGUUCGAGCACAUGGGCAUGGUUUGCUGUCAUUCGUUGCAGCAGAUACCUCCCAGGCACAUUUUGAAAAGAUGGAGCAUACACGGUAGAGACAAUCUGCUUGGGCACCUGAAGCACUAUCGACAAGACAUGGGGCCGCCGGAUGCACCCACUUUCAUGCAUUCUGCUCUGUACAUCACCACGCUGGAGGUUGCAAACAUGGGCGAUAGGAACCCGACAGCUUUUGAGUUUAUGAUGUUGGGCCUAGUUGAACUGAGAACAAGAGGCGCUGAGGUAUGUGCGUUCAACGAUGGGAUGGGGGUCGUUGAGCAGCAGGUCUCCAACAAUGCAGAUCCCAGAGGUCCGAAGUUCAAGACAAUUUCCUCUGUAAGAAGUUUGGAAGGCAAUCGAACCAAAUCACGUCAUGCCACGGCGGUGUCCGUGCAUCCUCCAAUGAGUCAGGCCUCUGAAGCAUCAUGCCCGAAUGGUGAUGGGUACAAUUUAGAUUUCUCCGAGGCCGCAUCACGCCUAAUGACCAAUGCUGAAGAAGAAUUUCUUGCACCGGAAAGAAACAACAAACGAGGCCGACCAACUACCAGCCGUGACAAAGCUCCUUAUGAGAAGGACAACGCAAAAAGGUCUAGGUUCUUGUCGGAUUUCGGUUUCCGGCAGACCUUUAAGGUUCGAACUCUGGGGUGCGCGCGGAGAUCACUCCCCCUAUCAACUCAUGUCUUGUCGCCUCGCAAGGGAUCUAAACUACACGAAGAACAACACAAGGGACAAGAGGUUUAUACUAGUUCGGGCCACCAUUGUGGUGUAAUACCCUACUCUAGUUUGUGA